AGCAGCCGCGGUAAUUCCAGCUCCAAUAGCGUAUAUUAAAGUUGUUGCAGUUAAAAAGCUCGUAGUUGAAUUUCGGGAUCAAAUUGUUGGUCGUGCCUCGGUACGCACUGGUAUUAUUGGUUCCUACCUUCUGACGAACCAUGAUGUCAUUAAUUUGGUGUCAUGGGGAAUCAGGACUGUUACUUUGAAAAAUUAGAGUGUUUAAAGCAGGCUCACGCUUGAAUACAUUAGCAUGGAAUAACGAAAUAGGACGUUUGAUUCUAUUUUGUUGUUUCUAGGAUCGACGUAAUGAUUAAUAGGGAUAGUUGGGGCAUUAGUAUUCAAUUGUCAGAGGUGAAAUUCUUGGAUUUAUUGAAGACUAACUACUGCGAAAGCAUUUGCCAAGGAUGUUUUCAUUAAUACAAGAACGAAAGUUAGGGGAUCGAAGACGAUCAGAUACCGUCGUAGUCUUAACCA
rnacentral:rRNA from 1 species